CAAAGUUGAUCGUGUUUAUGACGUCGAAUAUCGACGUCAUAAACACAAAGUUGUUCGUGUUUAUGACGUCGAAUAUCGACGUCAUAAACACCAAAG